GACGAACGCUGGCGGCGUGCUUAACACAUGCAAGUCGAACGGAAAGGCCCUGCUUUUGUGGGGUGCUCGAGUGGCGAACGGGUGAGUAACACGUGAGUAACCUGCCCUUGACUUUGGGAUAACUUCAGGAAACUGGGGCUAAUACCGGAUAGGAGCUCCUGCUGCAUGGUGGGGGUUGGAAAGUUUCGGCGGUUGGGGAUGGACUCGCGGCUUAUCAGCUUGUUGGUGGGGUAGUGGCUUACCAAGGCUUUGACGGGUAGCCGGCCUGAGAGGGUGACCGGCCACAUUGGGACUGAGGUACGGCCCAGACUCCUACGGGAGGCAGCAGUGGGGAAUAUUGCACAAUGGGCGGAAGCCUGAUGCAGCAACGCCGCGUGCGGGAUGACGGCCUUCGGGUUGUAAACCUCGUGCGCCUGUGACGAAGCGUGAGUGACGGUAAUGGGUAAAGAAGCACCGGCUAACUACGUG
rnacentral:rRNA from 1 species